UACAGAGGGUGCGAGCGUUAAUCGGAAUUACUGGGCGUAAAGGGUGCGUAGGCGGUUAUUUAAGUUAGAUGUGAAAUCCCCGGGCUUAACCUGGGAAUUGCAUUUGAUACUGGAUGGCUAGAGUAGAGUAGAGGGAAGUGGAAUUUCCGGUGUAGCGGUGAAAUGCGUAGAUAUCGGAAAGAACAUCAGUGGCGAAGGCGGCUUCCUGGACUCAUACUGACGCUGAGGCACGAAAGCAUGGGGAGCAAACAGGAUUAGAUACCCUGGUAGUCCAUGCCGUAAACGAUGAAAACUAGAUGCUGGUAGGUUAAACUUAUCAGUAUCGCAGCUAACGCGUUAAGUUUUCCGCCUGGGGAGUACGGCCGCAAGGCUAAA
rnacentral:rRNA from 1 species